rnacentral:rRNA from 1 species
AUACGGAGGAUCCGAGCGUUAUCCGGAUUUAUUGGGUUUAAAGGGAGCGUAGGCGGACGCUUAAGUCAGUUGUGAAAGUUUGCGGCUCAACCGUAAAAUUGCAGUUGAUACUGGGUGUCUUGAGUACAGUAGAGGCAGGCGGAAUUCGUGGUGUAGCGGUGAAAUGCUUAGAUAUCACGAAGAACUCCGAUUGCGAAGGCAGCCUGCUGGACUGUAACUGACGCUGAUGCUCGAAAGUGUGGGUAUCAAACAGGAUUAGAUACCCUGGUAGUCCACACAGUAAACGAUGAAUACUCGCUGUUUGCGAUAUACAGUAAGCGGCCAAGCGAAAGCGUUAAGUAUUCCACCUGGGGAGUACGCCGGCAACAGUGAAACUCAAAGGAAUUGACGGGG